CUUGAAAUGGGCUGAGUCCCUCUUGCUCACCCUUGACUUGGAAAAACCAGUUUCUCUUUUAUUGUCUGUUACUAAUCUCUAUUCUAAAAAUUCAGCUCAAUUCUCAACCAUACUCCAAACUCUCUCUUUUCCAGCUACCUUUACUCCCUCUCCUUCAAUUCCACUUUCCUCUGCUUACUUUUUUUUUUUUUCUGACAGGGUCUCACUUUGUCGCCCGGGCAGGAGUGCAGUGGCUCAAUCUUGGGCUCACUGCAGCCUCAACCUCCCAGAGGCGGGGUUUCACCAUGUUGCCCAGACUGGUCUUGAACUCCUGAGCUUAAGCAAUCCACCUGCCUCGGCCUCCCAAAGUGUUGGGAUCACAGGCGUGAGCCACCGCAUCCGGCCUCAUGUUCUUUUUCAUUAAAGAGAGAAAUCAACUAUUCAGGACCGGCCCCCACCUUUCCUCAGGAGUCAUUUCUGUUCCGCACAGGCCUGCUGAACUGGGUGCUUUAUAUAGGAAAGGACCAACCACACCGAGCUCAGUUAUGGCACACACAGUGGGACCUAGACAAAGGGAGAGGGUGACCGACAUCCCAACUAGAUUUCAGUGGAGUGAAGUUCAGGAGGCAUGGAGCUGACAACCAUGAGGCCUCGGCAGCCACCGCCACCACCGCCGCCGCCACCACCGUAGCAGCAGCAGCAGCAGCAGCAGCAGCAGCAGCAGCAGCAAGAGUAACUCUGACUUAGGAAUAGAGACAGCCAGAGAGAAAUGUGAUCAAUGAAGGAGACAUCUGGAGUGUGCGUGCUUCUUCAGAGGGACGGGUGAUGGGCAGAUUGGAAAAAGCACCGCAGAUGGGAACCUUAAUCUUUCUUUUCUAAAAUUGAUGCUAUGAAAAUUUGCGUUUUCUGUAACUUGUAAAAACUAAAAGUUGCUUGUCUACUGAAAA
rnacentral:lncRNA from 10 species